rnacentral:rRNA from 1 species
GCAGUCGAGCGAACUUCUUCGGAAGUGAGCGGCGGACGGGUGAGUAACGCGUGGGUAACCUGCCCUAUACACACGGAUAACGUACCGAAAGGUACGCUAAUACGAGAUAACAUAUUUUUAUCGCAUGGUAAGAAUAUCAAAGCUCCGGCGGUAUAGGAUGGACCCGCGUCUGAUUAGCUAGUUGGUAAGGUAACGGCUUACCAAGGCGACGAUCAGUAGCCGACCUGAGAGGGUGAUCGGCCACAUUGGAACUGAGACACGGUCCAAACUCCUACGGGAGGCAGCAGUGGGGAAUAUUGCACAAUGGGCGAAAGCCUGAUGCAGCAACGCCGCGUGAGCGAUGAAGGCCUUCGGGUCGUAAAGCUCUGUCCUCAAGGAAGAUAAUGACGGUACUUGAGGAGGAAGCCCCGGCUAACUACGUGCCAGCAGCCGCGGUAAUACGUAGGGGGCUAGCGUUAUCCGGAAUUACUGGGCGUAAAGGGUGCGUAGGUGGUUUCUUAAGUCAGAGGUGAAAGGCUACGGCUCAACCGUAGUAAGCCUUUGAAAUUGAGAAACUUGAGUGCAGGAGAGGAGAGUAGAAUUCCUAGUGUAGCGGUGAAAUGCGUAGAUAUUAGGAGGAAUACCAGUUGCGAAGGCGGCUCUCUGGACUGUAACUGACACUGAGGCACGAAAGCGUGGGGAGCAAACAGGAUUAGAUACCCUGGUAGUCCACGCCGUAAACGAUGAGUACUAGCUGUCGGAGGUUACCCCCUUCG